GACGAACGCUGGCGGCGUGCUUAACACAUGCAAGUCGAACGGAAAGGCCCUGCUUUUGUGGGGUGCUCGAGUGGCGAACGGGUGAGUAACACGUGAGUAACCUGCCCUUGACUUUGGGAUAACUUCAGGAAACUGGGGCUAAUACCGGAUAGGAGCUCCUGCUGCAUGGUGGUGGUUGGAAAGUUUCGGCGGUUGGGGAUGGACUCGCGGCUUAUCAGCUUGUUGGUGGGGUAGUGGCUUACCAAGGCUUUGACGGGUAGCCGGCCUGAGAGGGUGACCGGCCACAUUGGGACUGCGGUACGGCCCAGACUCCUACGGGCGGCAGUAGUGGGGAAUAUUGCGCAAUGGGCGGAAGCCUGAUGCAGCAGCGUCGCGUGCGUGAUGACGGCCUACGGGUUGUAAACCGCUUUCGCCUGUGACGAAGCGUGAGUGACGGUAAUGGGUAAAGAAGCACCGGCUAACUACGUG
rnacentral:rRNA from 1 species